GAUGAACGCUAGCGACAGGCUUAACACAUGCAAGUCGAGGGGCAGCGGGGAUUUAGCUUGCUAAAUCUGCCGGCGACCGGCGCACGGGUGAGUAACGCGUAUGCAACCUACCUAUCAGUAAGGGAUAGCCCAUUGAAAGAUGGAUUAAUACCUUAUAAAGCAGGGGUCCCGCAUGGGAAUAUUUGCUAAAGAUUAAUCGCUGAUAGAUGGGCAUGCGUUCCAUUAGUUAGUUGGUGAGGUAACGGCUCACCAAGACAUCGGUGGAUAGGGGUUCUGAGAGGAAGGUCCCCCACACUGGUACUGAGACACGGACCAGACUCCUACGGGAGGCAGCAGUGGGGAAUAUUGCACAAUGGGGGAAACCCUGAUGCAGCGACGCCGAGUGAGGGAAGAAGGUUUUCGGAUUGUAAACUUCUGUUAUAAAGGAAGAACGGUACAUGGAGGGAAUGCCAUGUAAGUGACGGUACUUUAUGAGAAAGCCACGGCUAACUACGUGCCAGCAGCCGCAGUAAAAC
rnacentral:rRNA from 1 species